rnacentral:rRNA from 1 species
AGUGAACGCUGGCGGUAGGCCUAACACAUGCAAGUCGAACGGCAGCACAGUAAGAGCUUGCUCUUACGGGUGGCGAGUGGCUGACGGGUUAGGAAUACAUCGGAAUCUACUUUUUCGUGGGGGAUAACGUAGGGAAACUUACGCUAAUACCGCAUACUACCUACGGGUGAAAGCAGGGGAUCUUCGUACCUUGCUCGAUUGAAUGAGCCGAUGUCGGAUUAGCUAGUUGGCGGGGUAAAGGCCCACCAAGGCGACGAUCCGUAGCUGGUCUGAGAGGAUGAUCAGCCACACUGGAACUGAGACACGGUCCAGACUCCUACGGGAGGCAGCAGUGGGGAAUAUUGGACAAUGGGCGCAAGCCUGAUCCAGCCAUACCGCGUGGGUGAAGAAGGACUUAGGGUUGUAAAGCCCUUUUGUUGGGAAAGAAAAGCAGCAGGUUAAUACCCCGAUGUUCUGACGGUACCCAAAGAAUAAGCACCGGCUAACUUCGUG